rnacentral:tRNA from 1 species
GCCUGGGUGGCUCAGUCGGUUGAGCAUCCGGCUUCAGUUCAGGUCAUGAUCUCAGUUUGUGGGUUCAAGCCCCACAUCGGGCU